rnacentral:rRNA from 1 species
AACGAACGCUGGCGGCAGGCUUAACACACGCAAGUCGAGCGCCCCGCAAGGGGAGCGGCAGACGGGUGAGUAACGCGUGGGAAUCUACCCAUCUCUACGGAAUAACGCAUGGAAACGUGUGCUAAUACCGUAUACGUCCUUCGGGAGAAAGAUUUAACGGAGAUGGAUGAGCCCGCGUUGGAUUAGCUAGUUGGUGGGGUAAAGGCCUACCAAGGCGACGAUCCAUAGCUGGUCUGAGAGGAUGAUCAGCCACACUGGGACUGAGACACGGCCUAGACUCCUACGGGAGGCAGCAGUGGGGAAUAUUGGACAAUGGGCGCAAGCCUGAUCCAGCCAUGCCGCGUGAGUGAUGAAGGCCCUAGGGUUGUAAAGCCCUUUCACCGGUGAAGAUAAUGACGGUAACCGGAGAAGAAGCCCCGGCUAACUUCGUGCCAGCCGCCGCAGUAAGAC